UCCAAGAAGGGACUCUAUGCAGAUCUCCAGACGGACAGAAGUCAACUAUCCCUAAGAUGAAGAAAUGAGAAAUAAAAUGACCUGUUCAAGGACACUGAGCACACAAGCGAUGGAGGCCCAUAGAAGAAAGAUGGUGACAGAAGGAGGGUUAAUAAAUCAUUGAAGAUGGGAUCAUAGCUCCUGAAUAGA